GGCUCAGAUUGAACGCUGGCGGCAGGCCUAACACAUGCAAGUCGAGCGGUAGAGAGGUGCUUGCACCUCUUGAGAGCGGCGGACGGGUGAGUAAUGCCUAGGAAUCUGCCUGGUAGUGGGGGAUAACGCUCGGAAACGGACGCUAAUACCGCAUACGUCCUACGGGAGAAAGCAGGGGACCUUCGGGCCUUGCGCUAUCAGAUGAGCCUAGGUCGGAUUAGCUAGUUGGUGGGGUAAUGGCUCACCAAGGCGACGAUCCGUAACUGGUCUGAGAGGAUGAUCAGUCACACUGGAACUGAGACACGGUCCAGACUCCUACGGGAGGCAGCAGUGGGGAAUAUUGGACAAUGGGCGAAAGCCUGAUCCAGCCAUGCCGCGUGUGUGAAGAAGGUCUUCGGAUUGUAAAGCACUUUAAGUUGGGAGGAAGGGCAUUAACCUAAUACGUUAGUGUUUU
rnacentral:rRNA from 1 species